rnacentral:rRNA from 1 species
UACGAAGGGGGCUAGCGUUGCUCGGAAUCACUGGGCGUAAAGGGUGCGUAGGCGGGGCUUUAAGUCAGGGGUGAAAUCCUGGAGCUCAACUCCAGAACUGCCUUUGAUACUGAAGAUCUUGAGUUCGGGAGAGGUGAGUGGAACUGCGAGUGUAGAGGUGAAAUUCGUAGAUAUUCGCAAGAACACCAGUGGCGAAGGCGGCUCACUGGCCCGAUACUGACGCUGAUGCACGAAAGCCAGGGGAGCGAACGGG